rnacentral:rRNA from 1 species
GACGAACGCUGGCGGCGUGCCUAAUACAUGCAAGUAGAACGCUGAAGGAGGAGCUUGCUUCUCUGGAUGAGUUGCGAACGGGUGAGUAACGCGUAGGUAACCUGCCUGGUAGCGGGGGAUAACUAUUGGAAACGAUAGCUAAUACCGCAUAAUAGUAGAAGUCGCAUGACAUUUGCUUAAAAGGUGUAAUUGCAUCACUACCAGAUAGACCUGCGUUGUAUUAGCUAGUUGGUGAGUUAACGGCUCACCAAGGCAACGAUACAUAGCCGACCUGAGAGGGUGAUCGGCCACACUGGGACUGAGACACGGCCCAGACUCCUACGGGAUGCAGCAGUAGGGAAACUUCUGCAAUGGACGGAAGUCUGGCCGAGCAACGCCGCGUGAGUGAAGAAGGUUUUCGGAUCGUAAAGCUCUGUUGUAAGAGAAGAACGAGUGUGAGAGUGGAAAGUUCACACUGUGACGGUAUCUGACCAAAAAGGGACGGCUAACUACGUG